rnacentral:rRNA from 1 species
GACGAACGCUGGCGGCGUGCUUAACACAUGCAAGUCGAACGGAAAGGCCCUGCUUUUGUGGGGUGCUCGAGUGGCGAACGGGUGAGUAACACGUGAGUAACCUGCCCUUGACUUUGGGAUAACUUCAGGAAACUGGGGCUAAUACCGGAUAGGAGCUCCUGCUGCAUGGUGGGGGUUGGAAAGUUUCGGCGGUUGGGGAUGGACUCGCGGCUUAUCAGCUUGUUGGUGGGGUAGUGGCUUACCAAGGCUUUGACGGGUAGCCGGCCUGCGAGGGUGACCGGCCACAUUGGGACUGAGAUACGGCCCAGACUCCUACGGGAGGCAGCAGUGGGGAAUAUUGCACAAUGGGCGGAAGCCUGAUGCAGCAACGCCGCGUGCGGGAUGACGGCCUUCGGGUUGUAAACCGCUUUCGCCUGUGACGAAGCGUGAGUGACGGUAAUGUGUAAAGAAGCACCGGCUAACUACGUG